AAAAGCAAAUCAAAAAGCUGAGAGGUCCAACCCUGUUCUUGAGGUUUCAAAUACCAGAAGCAGGUGGAACAAUUAAUAGCUUCCCUUAGGAUUCUUUGAGUUAUUCCAAUUUUUGCCCAUCCUUAAAUAUCACCAUUGAGACAGAGAGGGGAAGGGAAUAAGCAUUUAUUCAGCAUCUACUUGUGUAGUAGAAUAAGCACUGUGCCAGGCACUUUACAAACAUUAUCUCACUGGACCUUUACAAGUAGGUGUAUUAUUAUCCCCAUUUUACAAUUGAGUAAACUAAGGCAAAUACAAGUGGCUUGCCAGGGUCACACAGUGUCUGAGAUCACAUCUGAACUCAGGUCUUCCUGACUCCAGCCCUAACUCUGUCCACUGAGGCUGUCUUUCUCUGUACGUGGAUUUGGUCUGGCUGACCAUGGACACCACCACCUCCCAUGACCCCAUCCCUGACCUCCUGACUCUUCCUAAGUCACUGCACAGUUCUUUCCAUACAGUCCCCCAAAGGGUAAAGAUGAGGCAAACUGCUUAACCUUAGGGAAAUCUCUGGCAAUGACCAAAAAAACAAAAACAAAAACAAAAACAAACAAACAAACAAAAACCACCUGUCUAGGAUGCAAGCCUUUGAGAGAAUACCAUCCAAACAUGGGAUCAGAGAUGGAAGGACAACUGCUGUCUUAACUUACUGCAAUCUGGCCACCUUCAUCUUUCAGAUACAACUGGAUAUCACUCAAGGCAGCUAAUGCACAUUGCCUGCAACACAGAAGAGCACAGAAGACACACAUCAAAAGAAGGUCUUGGGGCAGCCAGGCAGCUCAGUGGACAGAGACGGAAAAAUUAAAAAUGCUGGGUUCAAAUGUGGCCUCAGACACUUCCUAGCAGUGAAACUCUGAGCAGGGCAUGUAACCCCCAUUGCCUAGCCCUUCUGGCUAAGAUGGAAGUGGAGGCUAAAGGAGAAAUCUGCUGACUGGACCCGAGAUCCUGUUCUUGAUGAGCCUGUUGGACUGACAUGUGGUUUAUGAAAUAAGUUUUGGGAAGUUUGAUUGGCAUGACACUGAAUAGACUUCAAGCCAAAAGAGCCACUAUGUUUUCUCCAACCCAAAAACAAACAGAAUGAUAACAUCAAGACCCAGGUGGAGGAGAUGCUCUAAAGGAGAAGAAACACAGAUGAAGAAAGCACUUCAAAGUGGAGGAAGGGUGCCUAAAUAUUUAUUUCUUAACUUACUUC